UUGGCGCAGCUUCGCCACACUAGUACCUUCCCUCCACCAUCGGGCCCUACGCGCAUGCAUUGGCUCCCCCACGUCCAGCCUCACUCUUGGCAAGACGGCAGGGAGCGCCCACAUCAUCAUCCUCCAUGAUGAAUUCUAGUCUUGUCCUUCCUUGUAGGCUUGGGCUUGCUGCCCCUACCUCGAUCCUCUUCCUCUUCCCGUUGAGAUUCAGAUAAUUCCCACUUCUUCCUAAUCUCUACCCGAUAAGGCGUGAUGAGUUAUUCUUUCCUUUGUUAGAUUUGGACACUGGACGAAAGGAUCGAAAGGAGCAGCAGCUCUGAUUCGGAUAGGCACGUGCACAACUUUCUCUCCUAGCACACCUGCGCAAUUGAGGAGCCCCCUCGAGUGAAACCAUCUCGUCAAGCGGCAAAUGGGGCCGAAACAGCCGCCACCGUCCUCGCCGGCGCCGCUCGGACGGAUGAAGCGUUCCUCAUCGUGCCUCCCUUGCUCGGCCGACAUAGCCUUCCUCCAACGCUGUUGCCGACGGAGCUAGGGUUGGGAAGGAGAGCGGCCGGCAGUGGAGGGCAGGUUGAGGUCGUUGUCGCUGCCGGAUUUGGUAAGUGUGGCCGGUGGCCGGUAGCGGAGGCGACUUCGGCUCCAUCCAUACCAACUGCCCCGUUGUUCAUCGUCGCCGAUGACCCUGAUCUGUGCAACCAUAGGCCUCCGCUGCUUGGACAUCGGCUGAUCUGCGCAACCCCAACCCUCCACCAACGGGGCCCAGGCGGUUAUAGUCCUCACCUAGAGGGAGGUGACCUCCGUCGACGUGAUGGUCGACGUCACAACCGUGGAUUCACAUUAGGCCGAUGAGGACGCCCUCUGCCAUAACAGUGUGCCCUACCAAUAAAAGAAUAAGUAAAAUAGUUACGAACAAUUGAUGGUAAAUCAAUUGUUGAAUGGAUUUUGGAGAAGAAUUUGAGAUAAUUAAAUUACUAAAUGGAUUCUAGCGAGAAUGCAAAGUAAAAGUACAUCUUUUACUUGAUAGUAAUAUACUACUUUGCAAAGAUAUCAUAUAGUAAUUCUUUUACUCUGGUACAACUGUAGAAAAACGAAAGCAAAGUAAAAGUAAAUCUUUUACUUGAUAGUAAUAUACUACUUUGCAAAUAUAUCCUAUAGUAAUUCUUUUACUCCCGAUACGAUUGUAGAAAAAACGAAAGGGAUAAACUCCGCUCAGGGAAGGAGUGGGAACCAGAGGUUGGGCUAGUUGAAAUUGAAAACGGAAAAAAAGAAGGGGGUGGAUUGGGAACCGGAGGCGGAGGCGAGGGAAACUGAAAAAGGGGAAAAAAGGAAAACAUGGUGAAGAUCGCUACGUCAGGCACUUGAAUUAACAAACAACGCACUGCGCAUGUAUUAGCGCUACCGUAAAUUUCAGUUGAAACAUUCUUUUUCUCACGUGCGAAACAUCGAAACUCAAUGGUUGAAACAUAUAUUUUCAUCCAAAUAUAAUCAUGUGUGAUAUUUUAUUAUAAAGAUUUAAUUAUAACGAAUAUAGCAGUGUAAUCAGAUAGUUGAUCCGAUAAAUAAUUUUUAGGAAACCGUUUAAGUAUUGUCCAUAGACCUUCUGCACGUAACAUGUAACAUCUCAUGCAUGUACUGGCUACUAGGUGGUAAACAAUUCAGAUCCUCAGUACUGCAGACUGACAUGUAGACCUAAGGGUCUGUGGGGCCUACAUGUCAGUGAGCAGUACUGCAUAUGUAGUACUGCAGAGGACCCUCACUCAGUGGUAAAUGGGAAUGAAGGGCAGAGAGACGUUUGGAUUGUUCAAAAAAAAAUUAUGAUUGAUGUGACCCAAGCCCAUCAUAUGGAGUGUACCGUAGUGUCCGAUAUGUUUCUGGGCAUCUGACUCUCGAGGCCAAGCAUUCUCGUCAUUAUUUGCAAACACUCUUUAACUUUAAGGUUAUGUAAUGCAUGCACUCUGACUAAAAUUAAAGAGCUAACCGAGGUUAUCUAGUAACAACAAUAAUAAAACGUGGGAGAAAGAGAAGUUGUGUAAUAGAGUGUUUUCAAUGGUAAAUAGUAGAAUAAUCACAAUAACAACAACAAUAAACAAAGUUUAUGCUUCUCUGCUGCCAUGAAAAUAGUGUUUGCAAUGGUAAAAAGUAGAAUAAUCACAAUAAUAUUGUAUAUACGGAGAACUUGUGUUCAUCAAUGGUAAGUAGUAGAAUAAUCACAAUAUUUUUAUGGCAGCAGAGAAGCAUAAACUUUUUUUAUUGUUUGUAGAAAUUCUUGCACAUCCAGAUAUAGUUUCACAACUUAGAGUGAGUUCGAGGAGAAAGGGAUUAAGAAGAUUAGGAAGAUACGUAAAACGAGAUAAGCCAUUAGCACAUAAUUAAUUAAGUAUUAACUAUUUUAAUUUUCAAAAAUGGAUUAAUAUGAUUUUUUAAAGCAACUUUCCUAUAGAAAAUUUUUGUCAAAAAUGCACCGUUUAGUAGUUUGGGAAGCGUGCGUGCGGAAUACGAUGGGCUUUCUCACCCAAUCCCCCAGGAACGAACGCACCUUUAGUGUAGCACAUGAUAAACAGAUGUUCCCAUUUAUAAUGACCUUGCUUGGUUGAUCCAUCACUUUUCAACCCAAGGUCAUAUGUGUACUUUCCAUAGCUUACUUAUUCAUCCAUGUAUAUCAUGUGUAUAUAUGGGUUGGUCACCUUUGUAACCAACAUCAAAGCUGCGAAUCACCAUGAACAUAUUAAUUAAGCAUGUUUAAUGCCUUAAUUAAUUACACUUA